UCAGGAUGAACGCUAGCGGCAGGCUUAACACAUGCAAGUCGAGGGGCAGCGGGAGUAGCAAUACUCUGCCGGCGACCGGCGAAAGGGUGCGUAACGCGUGAGCAACUUGCCCGUAUCUGGGACAUAAGCGAUGGAAACGCCGUCUAAUUUCCCAUAACAACAGAGGCCGCAUGACCUUUGUUUGAAAGAUCCGUCGGAUACGGAUGGGCUCGCGAGACAUUAGCUAGUUGGUGUGGUAACGGCACACCAAGGCGACGAUGUCUAGGGGUUCUGAGAGGAAGGUCCCCCCACACUGGAACUGAGACACGGUCCAGACUCCUACGGGAGGCAGCAGUGAGGAAUAUUGGUCAAUGGACGCAAGUCUGAACCAGCCAUGCCGCGUGAAGGAUUGAAGGCCCUAUGGGUCGUAAACUUCUUUUGUGGUGGAGCAAUAAGGCGUACGUGUACGCCGAUGAGAGUACAUCACGAAUAAGCAUCGGCUAACUCCGUGCCAGCAGCUGC
rnacentral:rRNA from 1 species